GGGUUGUGAGGUUAAGCGACUAAGCGUACACGGUGGAUGCCCUGGCAGUCAGAGGCGAUGAAGGACGUGCUAAUCUGCGAUAAGCGUCGGUAAGGUGAUAUGAACCGUUAUAACCGGCGAUUUCCGAAUGGGGAAACCCAGUGUGUUUCGACACACUAUCAUUAACUGAAUCCAUAGGUUAAUGAGGCGAACCGGGGGAACUGAAACAUCUAAGUACCCCGAGGAAAAGAAAUCAACCGAGAUUCCCCCAGUAGCGGCGAGCGAACGGGGAGCAGCCCAGAGCCUGAAUCAGUGUGUGUGUUAGUGGAAGCGUCUGGAAAGGCGCGCGAUACAGGGUGACAGCCCCGUACACAAAAAUGCACAUGCUGUGAGCUCGAUGAGUAGGGCGGGACACGUGGUAUCCUGUCUGAAUAUGGGGGGACCAUCCUCCAAGGCUAAAUACUCCUGACUGACCGAUAGUGAACCAGUACCGUGAGGGAAAGGCGAAAAGAACCCCGGCGAGGGGAGUGAAAAAGAACCUGAAACCGUGUACGUACAAGCAGUGGGAGCCUCUUUUAUGGGGUGACUGCGUACCUUUUGUAUAAUGGGUCAGCGACUUAUAUUCUGUAGCAAGGUUAACCGAAUAGGGGAGCCGAAGGGAAACCGAGUCUUAACUGGGCGUUAAGUUGCAGGGUAUAGACCCGAAACCCGGUGAUCUAGCCAUGGGCAGGUUGAAGGUUGGGUAACACUAACUGGAGGACCGAACCGACUAAUGUUGAAAAAUUAGCGGAUGACUUGUGGCUGGGGGUGAAAGGCCAAUCAAACCGGGAGAUAGCUGGUUCUCCCCGAAAGCUAUUUAGGUAGCGCCUCGUGAAUUCAUCUCCGGGGGUAGAGCACUGUUUCGGCAAGGGGGUCAUCCCGACUUACCAACCCGAUGCAAACUGCGAAUACCGGAGAAUGUUAUCACGGGAGACACACGGCGGGUGCUAACGUCCGUCGUGAAGAGGGAAACAACCCAGACCGCCAGCUAAGGUCCCAAAGUCAUGGUUAAGUGGGAAACGAUGUGGGAAGGCCCAGACAGCCAGGAUGUUGGCUUAGAAGCAGCCAUCAUUUAAAGAAAGCGUAAUAGCUCACUGGUCGAGUCGGCCUGCGCGGAAGAUGUAACGGGGCUAAACCAUGCACCGAAGCUGCGGCAGCGACGCUUAUGCGUUGUUGGGUAGGGGAGCGUUCUGUAAGCCUGCGAAGGUGUGCUGUGAGGCAUGCUGGAGGUAUCAGAAGUGCGAAUGCUGACAUAAGUAACGAUAAAGCGGGUGAAAAGCCCGCUCGCCGGAAGACCAAGGGUUCCUGUCCAACGUUAAUCGGGGCAGGGUGAGUCGACCCCUAAGGCGAGGCCGAAAGGCGUAGUCGAUGGGAAACAGGUUAAUAUUCCUGUACUUGGUGUUACUGCGAAGGGGGGACGGAGAAGGCUAUGUUGGCCGGGCGACGGUUGUCCCGGUUUAAGCGUGUAGGCUGGUUUUCCAGGCAAAUCCGGAAAAUCAAGGCUGAGGCGUGAUGACGAGGCACUACGGUGCUGAAGCAACAAAUGCCCUGCUUCCAGGAAAAGCCUCUAAGCAUCAGGUAACAUCAAAUCGUACCCCAAACCGACACAGGUGGUCAGGUAGAGAAUACCAAGGCGCUUGAGAGAACUCGGGUGAAGGAACUAGGCAAAAUGGUGCCGUAACUUCGGGAGAAGGCACGCUGAUAUGUAGGUGAAGUCCCUCGCGGAUGGAGCUGAAAUCAGUCGAAGAUACCAGCUGGCUGCAACUGUUUAUUAAAAACACAGCACUGUGCAAACACGAAAGUGGACGUAUACGGUGUGACGCCUGCCCGGUGCCGGAAGGUUAAUUGAUGGGGUCAGCGCAAGCGAAGCUCUUGAUCGAAGCCCCGGUAAACGGCGGCCGUAACUAUAACGGUCCUAAGGUAGCGAAAUUCCUUGUCGGGUAAGUUCCGACCUGCACGAAUGGCGUAAUGAUGGCCAGGCUGUCUCCACCCGAGACUCAGUGAAAUUGAACUCGCUGUGAAGAUGCAGUGUACCCGCGGCAAGACGGAAAGACCCCGUGAACCUUUACUAUAGCUUGACACUGAACAUUGAGCCUUGAUGUGUAGGAUAGGUGGGAGGCUUUGAAGUGUGGACGCCAGUCUGCAUGGAGCCGACCUUGAAAUACCACCCUUUAAUGUUUGAUGUUCUAACGUUGACCCGUGAUCCGGGUUGCGGACAGUGUCUGGUGGGUAGUUUGACUGGGGCGGUCUCCUCCUAAAGAGUAACGGAGGAGCACGAAGGUUGGCUAAUCCUGGUCGGACAUCAGGAGGUUAGUGCAAUGGCAUAAGCCAGCUUGACUGCGAGCGUGACGGCGCGAGCAGGUGCGAAAGCAGGUCAUAGUGAUCCGGUGGUUCUGAAUGGAAGGGCCAUCGCUCAACGGAUAAAAGGUACUCCGGGGAUAACAGGCUGAUACCGCCCAAGAGUUCAUAUCGACGGCGGUGUUUGGCACCUCGAUGUCGGCUCAUCACAUCCUGGGGCUGAAGUAGGUCCCAAGGGUAUGGCUGUUCGCCAUUUAAAGUGGUACGCGAGCUGGGUUUAGAACGUCGUGAGACAGUUCGGUCCCUAUCUGCCGUGGGCGCUGGAGAACUGAGGGGGGCUGCUCCUAGUACGAGAGGACCGGAGUGGACGCAUCACUGGUGUUCGGGUUGUCAUGCCAAUGGCACUGCCCGGUAGCUAAAUGCGGAAGAGAUAAGUGCUGAAAGCAUCUAAGCACGAAACUUGCCCCGAGAUGAGUUCUCCCUGACCCUUUAAGGGUCCUGAAGGAACGUUGAAGACGACGACGUUGAUAGGCCGGGUGUGUAAGCGCAGCGAUGCGUUGAGCUAACCGGUACUAAUGAACCGUGAGGCUUAACCUUACAACGCCGAAGGUGUUU
rnacentral:rRNA from 1 species